GAUGAACGCUAGCGGCAGGCUUAAUACAUGCAAGUCGAGGGGCAGCACGGGUAGCAAUACCUGGUGGCGACCGGCAAACGGGUGCGGAACACGUACGCAACCUUCCCAUAACUGGUGAAUAGCCCUCCGAAAGGAGGAUUAAUACACCGUAACAUAAUGAAGUGGCAUCACUUUAUUAUUAUAGGCAGCAAUGUCGGUUUUGGAUGGGCGUGCGCCUGAUUAGGUAGUUGGCGGGGUAACGGCCCACCAAGCCUGCGAUCAGUAACUGGUGUGAGAGCACGACCAGUCACACGGGCACUGAGACACGGGCCCGACUCCUACGGGAGGCAGCAGUAAGGAUAUUGGUCAAUGGACGAAAGUCUGAACCAGCCAUGCCGCGUGAAGGGAUGACGGGCCCUCUGGGUUGUAAACUUCUUUUAUAUGGGGACGAAAAAAGGGAUUCUUUCUCACUUGACGGUACCAUAAGAAUAAGCA
rnacentral:rRNA from 1 species